GAGCACGUAGGUGGGUUUGUAAGUCAGAUGUGAAAGCCUUCUGUUCAACGGAAGAAUUGCAUCUGAAACUACAAGUCUUGAGUGUAGGAGGGGAGAAUGGAACUUCUGGUGGAGCGGUGAAAUGCGUAGAUAUCAGAAGGAACGCCGGCGGCGAGAGCGAUUCUCUGGCCAAUUACUGACACUCAGUGUGCGAAAGCUAGGGGAGCAAACGGGAUUAGAUACCCCGGUAGUCCUAGCCGUAAACGAUGGGCACUAAGUAGAGGGAAUUACCGAUGUUCUCUCUGCCGUAGCUAACGCAUUAAGUGCCCCGCCUGGGGAGUACGGCCGCAAGGCUAAAACUCAAAAGAAUUGACGGGGGCUCGCACAAGCGGUGGAGCAUGUGGCUUAAUUCGAUGCAACGCGAAAAACCUUACCGGGGCUUGACAUGGUAGAAGUAGGAACCCGAAAGGGUAACGAACGGUAUCCAGUCCGUAGCUAUCACAGGUGUUGCAUGGCUGUCGUCAGCUCGUGUCGUGAGACGUUGGGUUAAGUCCCCUAACGAGCGAAACCCUUGUUUUUAGUUACCAGCGGGUUAUGCCGGGUACUCUAGAAAGACUGCCGUCGUCAAGACGGAGGAAGGUGGGGAUGACGUCAAGUCAUCAUGGCCCUUAUGCCCCGGGCUGCACACGUGCUACAAUGGUCGGUACAAACGGAUGCGAAGCCGAGAGGUGAAGCGAAUCC
rnacentral:rRNA from 1 species